UUAAAGUUGUUGCAGUUAAAAAGCUCGUAGUUGAACCUUGRGCCUGGUUGGCCGGUCCGCCUCACCGCGUGCACUGGUCCGGCCGGGCYUUUCCUUCUGGGGAGCCGCAUGCCCUUCAYUGGGUGUGUCGGGGAACCAGGACUUUUACUUUGAAAAAAUUAGAGUGUUCAAAGCAGGCCUAUGCUCGAAUACAUUAGCAUGGAAUAAUA
rnacentral:rRNA from 1 species